CAAUCAGAAGCAAACACUAACUCUUGGUAUGUGUUUGGAGGAAAAUGCCUCUUUACAAGUCUUGCAUUUUGAAGAUCAAAGAAUAUUUUCCUCGGCUACUCUAUGGAGUCUAAAGUCUACAGGGUGAUUGUGAUUAAUCAACAGAAGGUGAUUGUAAGUCUGGACAAGAGAUUGAACGACACUUUGCUCCAAGCUGUUAAAGGUG
rnacentral:lncRNA from 1 species